UGAAUUGCUAAUACAAUCCGGUGCUAACAAAUUAUGACAAUUCAACAACAGUUAAGUUUGUAUAAUUUUUCAUGCAUGCAUGCGCACAAACUAUUACUAUUCAGGAAGGCCAACUCACGAAGACAGGCAGAUUUUGAACGGUAUACAUCAUAUCUUCUCAAAGAUGGCCACGGAGAAAACGCCGCUUCUGAACAGUGGUAACGGAUCAAACACUCCAUCGGUCGAUUAUGCGCCGACACCGAAGAAGGGGUAAGUGCUGUUCAUCAGAUUUCUAUUGAAAUAGUCACCUUAAUUAAGCGAUGUGUAGUGUUUUCAAGCGUAU